rnacentral:rRNA from 1 species
UGGGCAACCUGCCCCUCUCUCUGGGAUAACCCCGGGAAACCGGAGCUAAUACCGGAUACUCCGGCUGGAUCGCAUGGUCCGGCCGGGAAAGGUCCGCCGGAGUGGGAUGGGCCCGCGGCCUAUCAGCUUGUUGGUGGGGUCAUGGCUCACCAAGGCGACGACGGGUAGCUGGUCUGAGAGGACGACCAGCCACACUGGAACUGAGAUACGGUCCAGACUCCUACGGGAGGCA